rnacentral:rRNA from 1 species
GAGUUUGAUCAUGGCUCAGAUUGAACGCUGGCGGCAGGCCUAACACAUGCAAGUCGAACGGUAACAGGAAGAAGCUUGCUUCUUUGCUGACGAGUGGCGGACGGGUGAGUAAUGUCUGGGAAACUGCCUGAUGGAGGGGGAUAACUACUGGAAACGGUAGCUAAUACCGCAUAACGUCGCAAGACCAAAGAGGGGGACCUUCGGGCCUCUUGCCAUCGGAUGUGCCCAGAUGGGAUUAGCUAGUAGGUGGGGUAACGGCUCACCUAGGCGACGAUCCCUAGCUGGUCUGAGAGGAUGACCAGCCACACUGGAACUGAGACACGGUCCAGACUCCUACGGGAGGCAGCAGUGGGGAAUAUUGCACAAUGGGCGCAAGCCUGAUGCAGCCAUGCCGCGUGUAUGAAGAAGGCCUUCGGGUUGUAAAGUACUUUCAGCGGGAGGAAGGGAGUAAAGUUAAUACCUUUUGCUCAUUGACGUUUACCCGCAGAAGAAGCACCGGCUAACUCCGUGCCAGCAGCCGCGGUAAUACGGGGGGUGCAAGCGUUAAUCCGAAUUACUGGGCGUAAAGCGCACGCAGGCGGUUUGUUAAGUCAGAUGUGAAAUCCCCGGGCUCAACCUGGGAACUGCAUCUGAUACUGGCAAGCUUGAGUCUCGUAGAGGGGGGUAGAAUUCCAGGUGUAGCGGUGAAAUGCGUAGAGAUCUGGAGGAAUACCGGUGGCGAAGGCGGCCCCCUGGACGAAGACUGACGCUCAGGUGCGAAAGCGUGGGGAGCAAACAGGAUUAGAUACCCUGGUAGUCCACGCCGUAAACGAUGUCGACUUGGAGGUUGUGCCCUUGAGGCGUGGCUUCCGGAGCUAACGCGUUAAGUCGACCGCCUGGGGAGUACGGCCGCAAGGUUAAAACUCAAAUGAAUUGACGGGGGCCCGCACAAGCGGUGGAGCAUGUGGUUUAAUUCGAUGCAACGCGAAGAACCUUACCUGGUCUUGACAUCCACGGAAGUUUUCAGAGAUGAGAAUGUGCCUUCGGGAACCGUGAGACAGGUGCUGCAUGGCUGUCGUCAGCUCGUGUUGUGAAAUGUUGGGUUAAGUCCCGCAACGAGCGCAACCCUUAUCCUUUGUUGCCAGCGGUCCGGCCGGGAACUCAAAGGAGACUGCCAGUGAUAAACUGGAGGAAGGUGGGGAUGACGUCAAGUCAUCAUGGCCCUUACGACAAGGGCUACACACGUGCUACAAUGGCGCAUACAAAGAGAAGCGACCUCGCGAGAGCAAGCGGACCUCAUAAAGUGCGUCGUAGUCCGGAUUGGAGUCUGCAACUCGACUCCAUGAAGUCGGAAUCGCUAGUAAUCGUGGAUCAGAAUGCCACGGUGAAUACGUUCCCGGGCCUUGACACACCGCCCGUCACACCAGUGGGAGUGGGUUGCAAAAGAAGUAGGUAGCUUAACCUUCGGGAGGGCGCUUACCACUUUGUGAUUCAUGACGUGGGGUGAAGUCGUAACAAGGUAACCGUAGGGGAACCUGCGGUUGGAUCACC